rnacentral:lncRNA from 1 species
AUAGAGGCUUUUGUUCUUCAAAAUGAUAUUGCAUAAACCUAGAAAAAGGGGCGAUCAUUCUUGAAGUGUUUUCCAAAGCCUAUGAAGAUGAAGAGCUAGACUGGGGUGCCAGCUCCUACUAUUGUUCUCCAAGACCCUAAUGAAAGUCAUUACACAAGCGAGCUGCUAACCCCAAGCAUCCCGCCCAGAGCAGGGUCAUUCUAGCCAGACCAGGACACAGUGAGGACACUGGGCCAGCCCUGGAAGUUCAGUGAACUCUGAAUCAAUCUACGAAUCUUCCUGUCAGCAGAAAUUUGCCCAACCUGGUUGCCGCAGAACAGCCUGUAUACCAUCA